ACGGGAGGCAGCAGUGGGGAAUAUUGGGCAAUGGGCGAAAGCCUGACCCAGCGACGCCGCGUGAGGGAAGAAGGUCUUCGGAUUGUAAACCUUAGUCAACAGGGAAGAAGCAAGUGACGGUACCUGUGGAGGAAGCCACGGCUAACUACGUGCCAGCAGCCGCGGUAAUACGUAGGUGGCGAGCGUUAUCCGGAUUUACUGGGUGUAAAGGGAGCGUAGACGGUGAGGCAAGUCUGAAGUGAAAUGCAUGGGCUCAACCCAUGAACUGCUUUGGAAACUGUCUGACUAGAGUGCAGGAGAGGUAAGUGGAAUUCCUAGUGUAGCGGUGAAAUGCGUAGAUAUUAGGAGGAACACCAGUGGCGAAGGCGGCUUACUGGACUGUAACUGACGUUGAGGCUCGAAAGCGUGGGGAGCAAACAGGAUUAGAUACCCUGGUA
rnacentral:rRNA from 1 species